GAUGAAGAACGCAGCGAAAUGCGAUACGUAAUGUGAAUUGCAGAAUUCAGUGAAUCAUCGAAUCUUUGAACGCAUAUUGCGCUCUCUGGUAUUCCGGAGAGCAUGCUUGUUUGAGUAUCAGUAAACACCUCAACUUCCAUAUCUUUUUUGAAAUGGGAGUUGGACUUGAGUGAUCCCAACGCUUUUCCUCACCGAAAAGUGGCGGGUUACUUGAAAUGCAGGUGCAGCUGGACUUUUCUCUGAGCUAUAAGCAUAUCUAUUUAGUCUGCCUAAAAAACAGAUUAGUACCUUUGCUGCAGCUAACAUAAAGGAGAUUAGUUCUUGUGCUGACUGAUGCAGGAUUCACAAAGACAGGCUUCGGCCGACUUUGUAAACUCGAUCUCAAAUCAAGUAAGACUACCCGCUGAACUUAAGCAUAUCAAUAAGCGGAGGA
rnacentral:misc_RNA from 1 species